CUCGAGCGAUCCUGAUCCAGCCAUGCCGCGUGCAGGAAGAAGGCCUUCUGGGUUGUAAACUGCUUUUGCCUGGGAAUAAACUGUCCAUGCGAGACAAAUUGACGGUACCUGGUGAAUAAGCCACGGCUAACUACGUGCCAGCAGCCGCGGUAAUACGUGAGUGGCAGGCGUUGUCCGGAUUUAUUGGGUUUAAAGGGUGCGUAGGCGGACCCGUAAGUCAGUGGUGAAAUCCGCCAGCUCAACUGGAAACGUGCCAUUGAUACUGCAGGGCUUGAGUACAGACGAGGUAGGCGGAAUUGACUGUGUAGCGGUGAAAUGCAUAGAUAUCGUCAAGAACACCAAUUGCGAAGGCAGCUGACUAGGCUGGAACUGACGCUGACGCACGAAAGUGUGGGGAUCGAACAGGAUUAGAUACCCUGGUAGUCCACGAUGUAAACGAUGAUUACUCGAUGUUGGCGAUACACAGUCAGCGUCUUAGCGAAAGCGCUAAGUAAUCCACCUGGGGGAGUACGCCCGCAAGGGUGAAACUCAAAGGAAUUGACGGG
rnacentral:rRNA from 1 species